ensembl:snRNA U6 U6 spliceosomal RNA
GUACUCCCUAUACCAGCACAUGCACUAAAAUUGAAUUGACACAGGGAAGAUUAACAUGGCCCAUGUGCAAAAAUGACACACAUAUUCACGGACCAUUCCAUAUUUGA